rnacentral:rRNA from 1 species
AAUGAACGCUGGCGGCAUGCCUUACACAUGCAAGUCGAACGGCAGCAUGACCUAGCUUGCUAGGUUGAUGGCGAGUGGCGAACGGGUGAGUAAUGCAUCGGAACGUGCCUUUUAGUGGGGGAUAACGUAGCGAAAGUUACGCUAAUACCGCAUAUUCUCUGAGGAGGAAAGCAGGGGACCUUCGGGCCUUGCGCUAGAAGAGCGGCCGAUGUCGGAUUAGCUAGUUGGUGAGGUAAAGGCUCACCAAGGCAACGAUCCGUAGCGGGUCUGAGAGGAUGAUCCGCCACACUGGGACUGAGACACGGCCCAGACUCCUACGGGAGGCAGCAGUGGGGAAUUUUGGACAAAGGGCGCAAGCCUGAUCCAGCCAUGCCGCGUGAGUGAAGAAGGCCUUCGGGUUGUAAAGCCCUUUCGGCUGGGAAGAAAUCGCACCCUCUAAUACAGGGUGUGGAUGACGGUACCAGCAUAAGAAGCACCGGCUAACUACGUG